rnacentral:ribozyme from 14 species
AAAGAAAGAAAGAAAGAAAAAGAGAGAGACGUUGUUGUUAUUGUUUACUUUUUUGUCAGUGUCAUUAUUUUACCCGUACCUUCCUUUUUCGAUGAUGCCCUUU